UCGUUCUUUUAUUUCCGAGACGCUGACCGAUAAGGUUACUUCAGUCAUUACUGCUGGGUACAUUCAUUCCUGAAAUUGUUCUUCAUAAAAAAAGGUUGGUGGAGAUUGUUCUCGAUGUGGAAUGCCAAAUCAACAAGAUGAGAUACCAAGCCUCUGUGAAGAGGCCUCUACCAUGUUGCGUUAAGAAAAUGUGCACACUAGGCAAGCUGAAAUGGUUUCAUUGGUUAGAGAAAGUUUGAGCUGUUCAUGGUUGUGAUGUUUGGUGUGGCAGUCAUUUUCUGAUUGAGACGUGCACUGAAAUGGAUCUUCUACAGACUUGCGUGUUGUUUCAACAUCAUAUUUCCAUUUACCAUGUUGGUGUCCAUGCAGAGUUGAGCUGUUGUGCAAAAUAACAGGUGUUGCCUCAUGGCUUUCUGGUAAUUUGUUGGUGUGUUCUUCUGCUACCUGUAUCUAUGUUGAGUUCAAUCGAACGGCGCCGUUCCGGACUUGAUCCAUUGGUGAAGCUAAGAAAAUGCUGAACUUCAAGAGAUUGAUAAAUUAUUUAGUCUUAGAGAUUUUCAAAUUCAUUUCUCUUCUCUCUUUCCCCAAGUAAACAAAAUUUCCUCUUAGGUAGUUGUGUGGAUGGGUAAUUGCAAUGAGAUUAUAUAUUUUCUGUGAGAAAGCUCAGUUAAACUUAAAACCAUAAAAAUCUUGUGUACUGAUAAAUUUACAUCUACCAUAACAAACCUGAAAUAAUCAAAAAUACCACCUUGUUAUAAAAUAAUAAAAUUAUUGAAAUCA
rnacentral:lncRNA from 1 species